GUCCCGGGCCUCCGCCCGUGCGCUGGCUCUCAGGCUGCAGCCCGCAGUCUGCUUGCGCGGUUAAACUGCGCAGGUGGAGGUUGGCUUCACACUUCUGAUGGAAACUGUUUAAGGCCUUUAACCGUGGGUGCGCCCCUCCUAAGCAGAGGCCGGGGGUCGCGGGCGUGAGCUGAGGGGUAGAAUCACCAGCCGCGAACCCCAUCCCCGGCUAACUGCCGUCCUUGGAUCCGUACGUGGGCAGAGCGGGCAGUGAGCACGGGGCGUUUGGGGUGUGUCCAGCUGCUUUCCCUCGCUGGCACUCUCAGGCGCCCGGGGCCAGCGCACUAAAGUCCAGCUACCGGAGGGAAGGUCGGGAGACCCGGCUGCGUGGACCAGGAACGCUUCCGACGGGAAGAGCUGGGGCAUCCUCCCGGCGUUCCCGCCAAGCAGGUCUGCAGCCCAGGGCAGCACGGUCAGCGAACAGAGCGCGUGUUCUCAACAUUAAACCUGGGGAUGGUGUCACAGCCUGGUGGAGCGAAUCAUCACCGCCCGAUGGGGCAGCAGAGGAGGACAUGCUGUCGUCUGCCUGCCUUUUGCUCUAGAUCCACUGGCCUUGCUGCCCUGCCCUGCCCUGCUCUGUGUGGGAGAGAACGCUGGCCUCCUGCAGGGUUCCACCAGAGGAACCCAGCCAUGGAAACCUGGGGAGAAGAAGAGACCCGCUCAUAGCACACUGUCUUUGUGAGGCUGAGAUGUUUUCUCCCGGGCAGCAUCUUACUGUCAGCCUAUUCUUCGUGGCAUGGAGACUGCUCCAACAGAAGCUUCCAGAAUGUCACUAUGGUGACUAACAGCUCUUCGCAUUGUCUUCCCUGCCCUGUGAGCAGUAGGGGCUUUGCCUGCUCAUCUCACCAGCCCCAGCCCCCUGCCUCUGUCACCCUCCUAACCAGUUCUGUUUAAUCCCUGUGUGGUUUCUGCUUUGGACUGAUAACCCAGCACAGUCCUUGGUAGUAGGAGUGACUCUGAGCAUUCACAGGCCUUAAGAGGGCAUUCCAGGACUGGAUUGCUCACAAGUCUAAGCUCCAGUGUGUUGACACGAAAUCAAUGACACGUGGGUAAUCAAUGACAAGGAGUGUCAAAGUGGUUUAUAUUAUUUUGUGUGGCUGCUGGUUGAUAGGAAGACCUUGAAAAAUUAAGUAGCUGCUCCAGCCAGGUAUUUAUGUAGCAGCACGACUACAAAGACUGAGUUGGGACAGACAGUACAGGAGUGCAUUCCGGUCUUAGUCUUUGCAUUUCUAACCCCAGGUACAAUCACAGAGCCAGGGAGCUCCCAUAGCAGCUCUAAUAGGAUCUCUCAUUUUUGCACCUGCAAAGUAGUCAGAACUGAGGAACAGACCCAAACCUACCUGGCAGUAGGGUAGGAAGCAGGCUGAGCACAGUCCUGCCACAUCUCAUAUUAAGGUAGGUCAUUAAUUGAAAAAUGGGGGCUGGGCAUAUAGCUCAGAUGGUAAGAGUGCUUGCCUCGAAUGCACAAAGCCCUGGGUUCAAUCCCCAGCGCCACCACCAAAAAAAAAAAAAAAGAGUUCUUGAUUAAUUGAAAAGUGGGGCCCUGAGGAUUAAUUUAGACAUUGGCUAAAACAUGAAAUCCAGAAUACUCAUCUUCAGUGGUCUGCUCAGCCCCUUUACAGAGACAGACCUGCCUUUCUCUGACGUCCAGGAACAACCAGCAUGGCUAUUCUCAUCAUAAGUAAGUUAAAAUGAAAUUUCAAAGAAAGAAAGGAUAGGCAGACAAAAAUCACAGAAGAGGAGCAGAAAACCAAUUUUUAAAUGGUAUUUAAAUCCAACCAUACUAAUAACUACAGCAAAAAUCAUGGAAUGAAGCAUCCAAUUAAAAUCAGAGACCAGCUGGGCAUGGUGCACCUGUAAUCCCAGCAACUCAGAAGGCUGAGGAAGUGUGAUAGUAGGAGCAAAUGUGACUCCAUUUUGUUUUAUGACUUCAUCCUGUAAACCUACCAUGCCAAGUAGAAGAGUCAUGACUGGAGCAAGAUGUUCUUUUCCUUUUGCUAUAGAAACCUUUAAGAACUCGGAACUACCUAAUGGGGUAUUGUUUCUGUAACUAGGGUAACGGGGCUCUGUUUCUGCAACUGGGGUGACUGGGCUAACUGUGAUUGGUUAGGCUUCCCUCCGCUUGACUGCACUGUCCCGCUUCUGUAACCUGGCUGGCUUGCAUUGGCUAGACCCCCUGAACAUCCCUUUUGCAGUUUUCAGGCUUAUAAGGAGUGCCCUUGCAAUUGUUCAGGGCUGAUCAGGGGAACAGCUUUAUGUUCUGGUCAGCCGCCACCGGUGUGCUUCAAUAAAGGCUUGAUUCGAUUAUACGUGAGUGGUCUGGAAGUCAGUUCAUGAAACCCUGGGACAAAGCUUUAACUAUAACAUUUGAGGGCUCCUCCAUGAUCCAUUUCUUCCCUACCCUCAAGCCAAAUUUGCCUCCAAUGACAGGCCUUUGGACCUCGGCCCCGGAGUAGAGGGGAGCUCCUGAGAGACGUUCCUCAGCCUCACUCCGAGGACGACUCCAAUCUGUCCUAGGACGCUCUGAAAAGCCUCCUGCCGGCUGUCAGUUCUGGUGAGUCGACUCUUCUCUGGGGAAAAAGGUCAGAUUGGACGCAGUCGCUUACACCUUCCCCGGGACAGGACGAGACGUUGUCACUGUCUCCCUGGAGGUCUCCCUGUGAGACCUCAUCUGUCUGUAUCUGGGGCCCACUGGAGGCCUCCCUGGGAGGCCUC
rnacentral:lncRNA from 1 species